rnacentral:tRNA from 1 species
GCCGGUGUGGCGAAAUGGCAGACGCGAUAGACUCAAAAUCUGUUGUCCAAAAGGCGUGGGGGUUCGAGUCCCUCCACCGGCACCA